GACGAACGCUGGCGGCGUGCUUAACACAUGCAAGUCGAGCGGUAAGGCCCUUUCGGGGGUACGACGAGCGGCGAACGGGUGAGUAACACGUGGGUGACCUGCCCUUAGCUCUGGGAUAAGCCUGGGAAACUGGGUCUAAUACCGGAUAUGACUCCAUGACGCAUGUUGUGGGGUGGAAAGCCUUGUGCGGCUAGGGAUGGGCCCGCGGCCUAUCAGCUUGUUGGUGGGGUGAUGGCCUACCAAGGCGACGACGGGUAGCCGGCCUGAGAGGGCGACCGGCCACACUGGGACUGAGACACGGCCCAGACUCCUACGGGAGGCAGCGAGUGGGGAAUCUUGCGCAAUGGGCGAAAGCCUGACGCAGCGACGCCGCGGUGGGGA
rnacentral:rRNA from 1 species